rnacentral:lncRNA from 13 species
UUUUUAUUUGUGUUUUACUUAAUUUAAAUUCCUUUAUUUCAAGCAGGGUCUUACUUUGUGAGGCUGACAUAAUCCUCACACCUCAGCCUUCUGAGUAGUUGGGACCAGAGCUGCAUGCCACCAUGCCUGGCUAACUUGUCAAAUUGUGUAGCGAUGAGGCCUCCAUGUUGCCUAGCCCAGGUGGGGGAAGGGCCUUGGCAGAACACAGGCACCUUGUAGAAUGUCCACUGUGAGGCACCAGCCACCAGGGCCGGGGAUUGGUGAAGAGGGAGUACAAGGCCCCAGGGUUGCUAAGGCAGCGCCCAGACUGGGACAGCUUUUGGUGGACACCAGAGCCCUGGUCUCCCUCCAACUGCUCCAGAGCCUCCCACUGCCCCACCCUGCGCUUCCUGCUGCUCCGCUGAUCCACUUUCCCACGGACCGGGACCCUGAAAUGGCCAGGACAUGCUGCUGCUGUGGCUGCUGUUUUGGCUCCUCAUGCUGGGGUUCCCUCACCAUCAGUCCACCCACAGGGAGGCUACUCAGGGACAGCGCAUCCCUCCCAGGAGCCCAGGCUGUAGUCACCUCCACUGUGAGGCUGAAGACAAAAGUGUCACCGAGCUCAGAGGCUGAUUUCUAG